GCUUAACACAUGCAAGUCGAGGGGCAGCAUGGUCUUAGCUUGCUAAGGCCGAUGGCGACCGGCGCACGGGUGAGUAACACGUAUCCAACCUGCCGUCUACUCUUGGACAGCCUUCUGAAAGGAAGAUUAAUACAAGAUGGCAUCAUGAGUCCGCAUGUUCACAUGAUUAAAGGUAUUCCGGUAGACGAUGGGGAUGCGUUCCAUUAGAUAGUAGGCGGGGUAACGGCCCACCUAGUCUUCGAUGGAUAGGGGUUCUGAGAGGAAGGUCCCCCACAUUGGAACUGAGACACGGUCCAAACUCCUACGGGAGGCAGCAGUGAGGAAUAUUGGUCAAUGGGCGAGAGCCUGAACCAGCCAAGUAGCGUGAAGGAUGACUGCCCUAUGGGUUGUAAACUUCUUUUAUAAAGGAAUAAAGUCGGGUAUGGAUACCCGUUUGCAUGUACUUUAUGAAUAAGGAUCGGCUAACUCCGUGCCAGCAGCCGCGGUAAUACGGAGGAUCCGAGCGUUAUCCGGAUUUAUUGGGUUUAAAGGGAGCGUAGAUGGAUGUUUAAGUCAGUUGUGAAAGUUUGCGGCUCAACCGUAAAAUUGCAGUUGAUACUGGAUAUCUUGAGUGCAGUUGAGGCAGGCGGAAUUCGUGGUGUAGCGGUGAAAUGCUUAGAUAUCACGAAGAACUCCGAUUGCGAAGGCAGCCUGCUAAGCUGCAACUGACAUUGAGGCUCGAAAGUGUGGGUAUCAAACAGGAUUAGAUACCCUGGUAGUCCACACGGUAAACGAUGAAUACUCGCUGUUUGCGAUAUACAGCAAGCGGCCAAGCGAAAGCGUUAAGUAUUCCACCUGGGGAGUACGCCGGCAACGGUGAAACUCAAAGGAAUUGACGGGGGCCCGCACAAGCGGAGGAACAUGUGGUUUAAUUCGAUGAUACGCGAGGAACCUUACCCGGGCUUAAAUUGCAGAUGAAUUACGGUGAAAGCCGUAAGCCGCAAGGCAUCUGUGAAGGUGCUGCAUGGUUGUCGUCAGCUCGUGCCGUGAGGUGUCGGCUUAAGUGCCAUAACGAGCGCAACCCUUGUUGUCAGUUACUAACAGGUUCCGCUGAGGACUCUGACAAGACUGCCAUCGUAAGAUGUGAGGAAGGUGGGGAUGACGUCAAAUCAGCACGGCCCUUACGUCCGGGGCUACACGCGUGUUACAAUGGGGGGGUACAGAGGGCCGCUACCACGCGAGUGGAUGCCAAUCCCAAAAACCUCUCUCAGUUCGGACUGGAGUCUGCAACCCGACUCCACGAAGCUGGAUUCGCUAGUAAUCGCGCAUCAGCCACGGCGCGGUGAAUACGUUCCCGGGCCUUGUACACACCGCCCGUCAAGCCAUGGGAGCCGGGGGUACCUGAAGUGCGUAACCGCGAGGAGCGCCCUAGGGUAAAACUGGUGACUGGGGCUAAGUC
rnacentral:rRNA from 1 species